CCUCCCACUCUUCUCUGGACGCUGCGUUCUGAUCGAUCACCGAGUUCAAGGCAAAGGUUUAAUAAAAAAUGGUUCAAGAUGCGGAUCGUACAAAUUUCUCUCGCACUUUCAAGUACUUAAUGGCGAUGCAGUUCUCAGCUAGGGGAAUCCCAUUUGUAGUCAAUACAUGGAUGGUGAGGCACAUUACUGUAGAGGACUAUGCGGUAAC